rnacentral:rRNA from 1 species
GAUGAACGCUGGCGGCGUGCCUAAUACAUGCAAGUCGAGCGAACGGGCUUGAAGCUUGCUCUUCGGAUGGUAGCGGCGGACGUGUGAUUAACACCUGGAGAACCUACCUAUAGUACCGGGCUAUCUUGGGGAAACUGGCACUAAUACCAGAUAAUUUUUUCAACCUCACAUUUCAAAAGUAAAAGACGGUCUUGCUAUCACUUAUAUAUGUUUCCGGUCUGCAGUGGCUAGUUGGUAAGGUUACUGCUUACCAAGCCAACGAUGCAUAGCCGACCUGAGAGGGUGAUCGGACACACUAGAGAUGAGACACGCGCCAGAAUCCUGAGGGAGGCAGAAGUAGGAAACCUUCGGCAAUGGGCGAAGGCCUGACGGAGCAACGGGGCGUGAGUGAUGAGGAUCUUCGGAUCGUAAAACACUGUUAUUAUGGAAGAACAUAUGUGUAAGUAAAUGUGCACAUCUUGACGGUACUUAAUCAGAAAGCCACGGCUAACUACGUG